UGAUGAAAGGUGGAUCAAAUGGCUAGGGUUUUAAAGGCAUCUGGACUAUAAGCGGGAGAAUUUCCCACCUUCACGAGAUUACUUUUCUCCCCCCAAAUCCAAUCAUCUCUCUUUCCAGCCCUAACUUCCCACUCGUCGCUCUCUUUCUAGCCCUAAAUCUCCCCCCUCCAGAGUUUCGGCGUGAAGCUUUUUCCGGCGUGUAGGUGGUUUGCGACUUCUUUACAACAGGAUCAUGUUCUAGCUUUGGAAGACUCAGCAAUGGAUGCUGAUCAAGUGGACAACCUCAUAAAGUUUUAUCCAACAAAAGAGGAGAUGGAGCUGCUUCACGUAAACUGUUAGUAAAACAGUUUAAAGGAUUAAAAGACAGAAUAAACCCUGAACUGCUAGAAAUAUGUCAAUUAAGUCCUUGGAAUCUAAUUCCAAAAGUAAGGAUAUUUCUACACACUUACCAAUAUUGCAGCAAGUUUAAGCAUGGUCCCGAUCAUGAUUAUAAUGGCUUUUGUGCUCAGGGGUACAAAGGAGAGAAGGAUAAAUUAGGAAAAUGUGAACAGGUGCUUGAAGUUCUUAAUUUUUCAAAGGAUCUUAGCAGUUUGGAACCUGCAGAAAAGGCGUAUAGCAGAGCUCUUGGAUGUGAAGCCUCUUGGGUGUGUAGCCGCUAUGUAAAGAUGAGAGAGAGGAAGAUAAAUACCAUAGGGCUUUUGUUUUAGCAGUGUAUUUAUGUAAGGCUGGAGGGUGUGGUUGGAGCCCCCUAGGGGCUUUAUAAAGCCAUGUAGGAUCCACAUCACCAUGGAGCCUCUCUUUAAUUUGGAGGGUGUGGAUGAAGCCUCGAACAAAAUUAAAAAAAAAAAAAAUUGAUUGGACUAAAACUAGUAGCACCACCUGAACAUUUCAAACUCGGUGCUACCAUGGUGGCGAAUGGAAGAUGGCGCCCCCUCUUCACUUUGAGGGUGUAGUGAUGGAGCCCAUAUGGGCGCUAUACAUGCUGAGGUGGCGGGGGUGACGCCCCCACACCCUCUAGCCUAAAAUGAUGUUUUAUCAUGAAAUGUAGAGUUCGAGUCUCUCAGUUGAAAAGUCUUUAAGUAUAUAUUUCACAUCAACUGUUUAAGUAGUAUAGGAAUUCAUAGUAAGCUGCGAUGUUAAUACAAGAAUUUGUUAAACUACAAGAAUUAAAACAUGUA